UACAGGGGGUGCAAACGUUGCUCGGAAUCAUUGGGCGUAAAGCGCGCGUAGGCGGUCGCUUAAGUCGGAUGUGAAAGCCCUCGGCUUAACUGAGGAAGUGCAUCCGAAACUGAGUGGCUUGAGUACGAAAGAGGGUCGCGGAAUUCCCGGUGUAGAGGUGAAAUUCGUAGAUAUCGGGAGGAACACCGGUGGCGAAGGCGGCGACCUGGGUCGAGACUGACGCUGAGGCGCGAAAGCGUGGGGAGCAAACAGG
rnacentral:rRNA from 1 species